CGCACGGGUGCGUAACGCGUGGGAAUCUGCCCUUAGGUACGGAAUAACAGUGAGAAAUUACUGCUAAUACCGUAUGAUGUCGAGAGACCAAAGAUUUAUCGCCUAGGGAUGAGCCCGCGUAGGAUUAGCUAGUUGGUGGGGUAAAGGCCUACCAAGGCUACGAUCCUUAGCUGGUCUGAGAGGAUGAUCAGCCACACUGGGACUGAGACACGGCCCAG
rnacentral:rRNA from 1 species